UACGUAGGGCGCAAGCGUUGUCCGGAAUUAUUGGGCGUAAAGAGCUCGUAGGCGGCUUGUCACGUCGAUUGUGAAAGCCCGAGGCUUAACCUCGGGUCUGCAGUCGAUACGGGCUAGCUAGAGUGUGGUAGGGGAGAUCGGAAUUCCUGGUGUAGCGGUGAAAUGCGCAGAUAUCAGGAGGAACACCGGUGGCGAAGGCGGAUCUCUGGGCCAUUACUGACACUCAGGGACGAAAGCUAGGGGAGCGAAUGGG
rnacentral:rRNA from 1 species